rnacentral:lncRNA from 1 species
GCUUAUAGGAAGAGUGGAAAUAUCACAAUCGAUAUUGCGACAUCUAAUCCAAACAACAUAUCAACAACAUCCCUAUUCUUUCUUUCCUAGCUUUAGGAUCAGAUUUAUGCCCUACAGAAGGAGUAAAUCCGACAACCCUAUUCUUUCUUUCCUAGCUUUAGGGUCAGAUUUAUGCCCUAUAGAAGGAGUAAAUCCUUGGCGCUAUUUUUGAUGUUCAAGGGAUUUACAAUCAUGCAACAAGCAUUCCUUGUAGGGUGCAUGUCUAUAGCUCGAGACCACAUCUGUAUAGUGUCCGCUCUAGAGUCUGCUCUUCCAGCAGCACCCGUGUGUGCUUCAGACUCUUUCCUUUCAUAUAUUUCUACCAUGUCGUUCGGAAUAUUUUCAAGAGAUAACCGGGACUGAGUCCUCAUCCUCCGCUUAUUAAUUUUUGAGACAACUUCAUAAUACCCAGCAAUCCGGAAAAUGUAUAAAAAUUAAGAGAAUUGGGUGUAAGGGGCGAGGUGGGACAACUUAAUAGGCGAAUCAACCUUCUAUCACACAAACGACACGAGCUAGCUGAACGAACAACGAUAUUAGUUAUACCGUGGAAGUCAUGAGCUCCAUUCAUCGCACUAGCUACUAUUUUUGCUUUUGUAUGGCUUAAACCGUCCAGGAUAGAUGGGCUGCUUCAUUGGCGCGAGUGAGCCGACUUCUAAGGGCGACGUGCGAAACAGGAAAAAUGAGACAUUAAAAUCGUGUCAAACCUACGGAAACUUUUUUUUUUCACUUACCAUGGCAGUGGUGGGCAAUUUUCAUCGACUAUAAGGAUAAUUGUCACGACGGACGGACGGACAAAGUUUUCAGAGAAAUGCACUGUCCUUUAUUAAUAGGUAUGGAUUGGUGCUAUAAUCAGUUAUACAUGCCAAAACAAGUUUUAGGCUUUUAAAAAAUUGGCUUUGAACUUUUGAAUACACACUCUUCAACCGCCUCUGUUCAUAGGUUGGGAUGCACUUGCGUUCAUACGUUCAUAGAAAUAAGUGCGCAUGCAUGUGGUGAACAUCUUGCUGGUACAUUACCCUUCUUAAAGAAAUAUAAGAGCGUUUAGAUUAUUAAAAAUGCUCUUGUAUUUCUUUACAGAGAGAGUAGUAUGUUGAAGUACUAAACCUUUUCUACACGCAAGAAUGAUAUGCCCUCGCAUUCACGAGAGUCACUCGUGGUUAAAACAAAGGGACUAGAGAGAUCGAUAGAAGCAGAGGGAGUGCUGUAGUGGGCUGGCUUUUACCUCUUGCGUGGUCGUUCUCUCGCCGAGUCGCCGCGCGCCCGUAGGAGGGAUGUUGGGAUCUCGUCGGCCGAGAGAGAGGGAGCGACGGCGGCCGGAACCCCGCCGAGCCGGGAGGAGAUGGAGCAAAACUUGGGUGUAUUCUGGCUGGUGAGCGAGACUGCGAC